UGGCAAUUUUGUUUCACCUCCCUCAGCCCGAGCUUGCCUUCGAGCUCGGAUUUAGAGAUUGGCUUGAUCUUCAGAAAGUUUUCAUUGAGGGAGGAAAUUGGAUGCUCAUAGUCAAGUUUUCAUCAUCCUAUAAUCAGGGCAACGGAUUCGUCAAGGCAUGAGGCCUCAAGUCGUUGGACGUGGCAGUGUUAAGACGCACCACGCAGUCGGUUGAUGGCUUGCCUUCUCUCCAUCACAUGGAGAAGGGGCCGUCAUCGAUCUUCGAUCACUAUAGUAGAUCGUCGAUGUG
rnacentral:lncRNA from 1 species